CCGUGCCACCCCUAAUCGGCCCAAUCUCAGUCUGAUCUGGGAAGGAAAGCAGGGCUGGGCCUGGUUACUGCUUGGGUGGGAGACAGGUUCAUGGG
rnacentral:rRNA from 1 species